ACUGGGAUCCUCACAAUCGUCGUUAGAAAAGUUGCAGUGAAGAGUUUUGAAAACAACAAAAGCUCCCAGUGAGAAGAAUAUGAGACUUAACUUAUUUUUCUUCUUCCUCUUCAUCGCCUGUGGGGAGAGGGAGGUUCUGUUCUGGCCUGAUAAGUCAUCUAUUUGAAUGGAUCGUCAUUCUCACAGGUAUGUAAAUAAAAAAACAACCCAUAUUCCUCUUCCCUUUCUUCCUCUCUUUUGACAAGCAGCAAUGCUUACACUAGAUUAAAUCACCAUCAAUAGACUUCCCCACGCUCGGGUGUCGUAUUCACUACACCCCAUGCCAAAAGACUAAUAUUAGUAUCUACAGAAAAUAAUCUCUCUUUAUUUCGCAAGUUCCCCGCUAAGGCAUUCACAUUCGCAUUUAUCAGAGGAUUUAAAUGCGGAUGAAAUAGUAUAUAAGCUGGAUCCCCUCAGGAGAGGUUCUCAUUCUCUUGUAUUCUUUCAGAUGAGGAGAGAGAGAGUAAGAGAGAGAGAAAAGAGAGGGAGCACGCUGCACCUUGGCGGAGAAAAAGGGAGGAGGAGGAUGCCGAGGAGGAGGAGGAAUUAAUUUUUCCCCUCUGGGAGAAACACAUGCUGGAUCUCAAGAGUUGGAGGGAAUCUUCCCAGCUUGCUCUGAUUGGCAUUAAGAGGGUAGGGGGGGCGGGGGUUUGGAGAGGGGGGAGCGGAAAGGAUGAGAGGGGAAGAGAUGCCAUGGUUGUUACUAAUGAUUUAUUGUCUGAAAUGUGAACGCUGUUUGGUACUUGUCGUUCAAAAACGGUCUGUGGAUCAUCUCUGCAGCCGGAUUUGGCUUUUAAGCUUCACAAUAAAUGCAAUACGUUUUAUUAUCCAGCAGGUAAGACGCACAGAAGAAGGAUAUUUAAAAACAGGAAAAACUGAAAACUUUCUAUCAGGAUUCACCAACAGGGCAGUUUGGACCUGAAAUGAUCACCAAACAUCCAUUUAAAGUCCAAAAAAGUCAUUUUUUCUGACAUGAUUUCACAAGUUGUGCCAAACCUAUAAAGUUAAAGCCAAAUUUAUCAGAAUAAAAUCAGCAAAUCUUCAAAAUCAGAGUAAAUUAUUAAUUUGCUGAAUUGUUCUCUAAAAAUCCUUAAGGUUUCUUUAAUAUGAGCAAAGAGGGAGAUUCAUAUCUUCAUGUCUGAGUCUGUGAUGUAUAUAUUAUCAAAUACAAUAGGAAGCUGCAAAGACUCUUUACCGUGUUUGUGAAAGCCUUUAAGUCACGUUUGUUUGUACAGACCGAUACGACAUACGACGUCUGACGGCUCCAGAGCAGAACUGAUUCAAAGAGCGCUGCUUCAUCAUCACACCGAGGGUUUACGGUGCGUCAAGUACGAGAAAAAAGGCCAAAUUAGACAGAAGUUAAAGUGUAAACUGAGAGGGAGCUUUUGUGGGUCAGGUCUGGUGGGUUUUGGACUUUUGGACUCAGGUCACUUAAACUGCCGACCAGUAAGUUGACCAGUAAAUCAUGCAACUCUUUUCAGUGAUCCUGAUAAGAUUCAGCUCUUCAUAACAAUAUUCAGGCUCUUGUGUUUUAAAUUUUAUGACUGAUUUUUGUGGAUUAAUUUUACUAAAAUUAUCAAUUGCUAUUAUAAUAAUUUGCAUCCUUCCCAGAAUAAACCAAAUCACAUGAUUUUUUUGGUAUAAAAGCAGAAGUAUACCGCCAUCAAACACCGCUGUUAUGGAUACCGUCAUCACCUCUUUGCCUGCGUCUGAUUGGUUGCGCCGCACACACUUUGAAGGAGUGUUUAGUCAGUCCUCCUCGGUUCUGUCUGAGCAGUAAAAACUGAAAGGGGGAAAAUAAAAAGCUCUCACAUCAUUCACAUAUAAGAGUCGACUCUUACAGCCUUCUUGUUCACAGUCGACAACGACUAAACCGUCUUGGUUUGAAUGAUAAGUUAACAUAAUGACGAUUGAUCCCAUUUAUAACCUAUGAAUACCUUCUUGUCUCAUUUAAAAGUAGACCCAAAUUCUCUCACAGCAGGGGCGCGCCCACCAAGGCGGCAAGGGGUGGCACUGCCCAGUCAACUCUGUUUGGCCACCCCAAAAUCUAUAACUGUAAUUGGUUGUUUGUCUUGUUAGAGGUGAGACUUCUAUUAGGUUCUAUUAGGCAGGUUUGAACAAAAGGUCACUGUGAUUUUAGAAAGCAUGAAAGUUCAAGUCAACACACUAGGUAAGUUAAAAAAAACAAGAGGUCCCCAACCAUGACUGUUAGUUGUAAAGGCUGACUGUAUAAAACAUGGGUUUGUUCUCAGUCUCAGUGAGGUCAGGGUUUAGUCUCACCCUAUCAGGUUUGUAAUUUCCAUAACUAACCGGGUUCACAAAGUAAAAGUAUAAAUAUAGACAUUAUAACUCUUUGGCAGGGUUAAUUCCUUUACAACUUUCCUGACGCAUGCUGAUAACAAAAAAACAAAGCAAAACAAAACCUGCUACCAUUAGUUGUUUGUUCAGUAUUUUUUUUUACAUUUAGAGUCAACAGCUCCAUAAGAUCGACUCUAAAUCAGUGAAGAUGAAGAUGCAGAUGAGGAAACUAAGUGUUUGUCCAACAUGUCUAUCCUGAGGGGCUGAGCCUGGACCGACUAACCUACCUCACAAAAACAGAAGAAGUCAAUCCAAAAAUAUACAUAAUGACCACAGAAAAACAGUUUUCUGUCUUGACUUGGAAAAAGGAUCAUUCCUCCAUAUGAUCACAGCAGAUGAGUAACAGCAUUGCAUUGUGGGAGAGACUGAACUAGAGCAUCCAGUUAAGGUGAGAAAUCCAGAUAUGACAAGAGUUUAAGGGUUUAGAGAAUGAAACUAACAAAAGUUAUGUCUUGAUACUCACGUCUGACAAACUGGAUUAGUUUGAAGACAGUUUUGACUAAAAUGAAAUUACUUUUUUUUUCUAAACUUCCCUUUAGUUUUGUCACAUUUGAGUUAUUUUCACCGUUCAAAGUUUCAGACUAAUUUAGAAACAGUUGCUAAAGUUGUCUUUUAAAUGGGCCUCAAGUGGACACUAGUGGAACUGCAGUUUUUCGCAGCUCUGGCAUUAUUCUUUUUGGUUUUAAAACAUGAGUGAUGUUAUUUUUAAGAAGAAUCUGGACUGAAACUUGGUCUGCUCUCUUCGGGUGAAUCCAACAAGUAAAUAUUUACAUUUUGUCCCAGAAUUCACAAAAUUAAGUCACAUUGAUGAAAGAUUCACGUGCCUUUUGUGAGUCUUUGUGUUGUGAAGCAGCAAACUCAGAGUGGUGGCGUGUUUCUCUCAACCCUGUGUCUGUGUGUGAGCGAGCGUUCGGAGGGUCUUUGACUUGAAAACUUUACGAGGAAACUCACACUCCGUACGGUGACACCUUUUCAGGACGAGAAGGAGUAAAAAUCAGAAUUAUAUUAACACCAGGACUGUCAGAAAAGAAAGCACCACCUGCGGGACACUUCUAAAACCCGGACUUAAAAGACAUCUACAUCCCGCCCACUGUGCUUGAUUGACAGCUAAAGUUUUUAAAGUGCAGCAGCGAGUGACACACCACCAGAGACGAGUGAAAAUAAAAACAAGACUCUCACAGAUUACCACUUUAAUAUUUGAUAGCGCGUGUGGGCUUCCUACCACUUAGUGUAAUUAAAUCAGUCGAGACCUCACUUAUAAAGACUGAAUUUGGACGCCAUUUAUGUCGUAUCAGGUUUCAUUCACUCAAACAAGUGGGACGCCGGAUUUCACCGUGACAGGCAGACAAAAAAAAAGAAAUAAUAAAAAAAUCAUCCCGAUGUUUGAUGCUUUUACUCAACAGACGCACAGAUAAUGCAGUUAAUGGCCAGACGUCUAGCCAGACAGUGUCCUGUGUGUGUUGACGGGUAGACAGAAGGCUGCGGAGCUGCACACAGAUCAACACAUAUUGACUCAAUCUAUUGACAAAUGAAUUUGGGGGCAAAGUCCUUCUGCGAGUUGUUGAUUUAGGUGUCACAGUUCAUUCCUCUUAGUGCCAACACUCACAACACAUAUCUCUGCCUUGAUCUGACGGCAAGCUGUGAGUUAAAAUAUCCUUUUAUUAAAGAGUUAUAUCUUUUUUUUUUUGCACAAUUACCAUAAUGCAGCAUGUUUCCGGAGCUGCGCUUAUUAAGAGAGCACGGUAAACUGCAAAAGAGAGAAGCCUGCAAAUAUGAAGCGUAUCAUAGCGAGCCAUUAAAAAUUCUGAAAUAAUUCAAAAUGGAAAUGAAAUGAAUGCAGCACAAAGUUUGUUUUCCGCAAUAUUAUAGUCAACCGACUACAUUAAAAAGCAAUUAAAACUAACUAUUGCAUUACAAGGAGAUGAAUUAGCUCUCAGCACAUUGAAAUGCAUGUUUUCUCUAUAAGCGUGGUGUAAAUGAAACUCUUCAUUAAGGAUUAAGAAAUAAUAAAGAAAAUUAGUCUGUAGUAUGAGACUUUAAAAUGUUCAUUAUUAGCUGUAUUUGCUUUAAUGAGCUGUCUGAAGAGGAAAAAAUACGGCUGGAGAGAAAUCUGCUGUAGACUUUAACGCCAUGAUAACUUGAUCAAGUUUCCAAGUUCAUAUCGGGGUGGGGGUGGGGGGGGGGAAGUUAAUGAAAUCUUCAGCCCAGAUCAGGCGGUUUCAUUUCAGCAAGUUCUCGACUUUGUACAAAGAUGCAGCAGGUGUUGGCUCUGGAGGAGAAUUUUGGGUAAAUAUUGAUCCUGUAAAUAUGUGUGCAGUUCACACCCGCCCUGUUCCUCCCUCCAUCACUCGCCCUCCUCCUCCUCCUCCUCCUCUCGGAGCCACGCACCCUCCCUGCAGCCAACAUGGGAGCUAGUUAAGUGAGGUAUCAUCUUCAGUCCGCAGCUAGCCCGGCGUCUCCCACAAGGCCACUGUGGGUAGGGUACAACUGUUGCGAGUGGGCGGCACAUCUGUUCCCUGAGACAGGCGAGGCCCCCCGGGUCAUCACGCGCCUCGGCUAGCGUUUCACGCGCAUCACUAAUAACCGCUCUGGUAUCUGUGCCGAGGUGCAGACAAAGGGCCGUGACGGGUUCCGAUCGCCUUCAGAUCUGAGCCUCGACAUUUCUAAUAUAAAGAGCAAUAAGAGUCGUGUUUACCUUCGUCUCAGCCUCCCAUCCAUCUGCUGCAUGAAACACACGUACCAGGUUAAGUACAUUCAAGGUAUACAUGGAAUAAAUUUGCAGGCGAUGGCGCAGCUUCUCGAUUGAAGCACCAUAUGUACCGUUCUGUUCGCAGCAUGAUGUAUUUGCCAGCUUUCAGAGGCGCACAGGUUCACGAGGAAUACGCAAAGACACAAUGAGGACAAUUUAUGGAAUUAAAACUGUAUCACCGCCGCAGCUUACCCCGCGAACUUCAGCGCGAGAAUACUCCGAAUCAGAACUGCACAGCUUUUGUCAAAGUCAGGAGUACUCCCUCCGACAACAGCCAGGGAUAUUCACGCCCCCGCACCAAACUAUAAAAGUUUAAAUCCAACUCAAGCUUCGAAAAGGGGAGCGGACACGGAGAGGGAGAUUGUGUGUGCAUGUUUGCAAUCCCCGUGCACGGCGAAAAGAGCCGGAGGGGGGGAGGCGGUGAGGGUGGGACAGAGAUGGAGCGAGAGGCAGGUGAGUUUGUGUGUGUUGGUUGGAGGUGGAGGAAGAGUACUUUGUGUGUGCAUGUCCACGGGGCUGGUUCACAGUGAUGGCUCUGGUAGUAGAGGGCGAGCAGAGAGCGUGGAGGAUGAAAGAUGGGGCCUAAUCCUCCACAUGUGGCGUCUUUCCCCCCCUCGUUUUUUUUUUUUUUUUUUAAAGGAAAGCCAACUGGAGCCGUUCUUUGGACUUUGGGCCAGGGGCUCCAGGAAAGCAUUGCCUCCAGCCAAAGCACAUAGUGUGAAAUGAGAAGCUAAAGCUUGAAUGUGCUUUUGUUUAUCAGAAAACUGCACUCUAAGUGGGAUUGGCAAUGGAGGGGCCCAAACUCCAUAAGUCAUAUAGACUGGCUUGGGCCGAAGUGGGGAUGGCACGGCGAAGGUUUCAGGCUUGAGCGGCCCAGGAAAGGCAGCGCGUCAGUCAGCCACUUGGCAGCCUCCCUCCUCCCUUCAUCGCCCGGCUCCUAUAAUCUUGGUUCCAACACAAAGGGGGGGAUCAGAGAGGUCAAUCUAAAGUAGGAAAAUGUGGUCACAAGUUAAGAAAACAGAGAGGAGGAAACAUCUGAUAUCCACCGGUCUGUUUGGAGCGGCGCUGACAGAACUUUAGACGUUGAACCUAAGCUGCAGGAAUUGGGGACGGAGAUUUCUGGGUGAGAGGGGGCCAGCGGGGAGCCAAAGACCGAUCAAUUCUAGAGAUGGAUUGUACGAGGAGGAUCCAUGACCACAAGGCUGUUGGCUGCAAAGUGGAACAAAGAUAACUUCAAAGUAGGCAGAAAGUUAUGAGAGGGCUCAGAGCUUUGGAUGAGGCGAGGUGGAGGAUUCAGGGAAAUCAGACUUCCAGUGAUUAACUCCAGAGUCCAUUUGUGUGGCUGUCGAAAACAUCCAGGAUACAUGCAGCCAAUCGUUGGAAAAGUAGAACAGGAUUUCAAUAAUAUUUGCCGUCGAAAAUAAACAUGAAUGUCCAAAAAGUUCUGGGGGAACAUUUAGCAGAUGAUGAUAGAUGACCACAAAAACAGGAAAAAGUGUUUUUAACGAUCGUUUUGGACUCUGAUUUUGAGAUCGGAGAGGCGCUACGGAUCACAGCAAACACAGCGUUCACUGCAGCAGAGCAGAAUAACUUUAGUUUGUUAAAAGUGAAUGAAAAGUGACUGUAAACAAACGGAACGCUGAAUGACUGAGCCGAGAAAAUGUCUUUUACUCAUUAACAGAGAUAUAUUUGAUCCUAUAGCUGACAGAUUUAGCUUCAGACAUCGCGGUGUCCCGAACUGAUGAAGUAAAAAUGUUUCCUUAGCACCAAAGCAAAGUUACAUUCCUGCACUUUUGAAGGAUCGCAUGAAGAAGUCGAAGCCUGAAUUGUUUUGGCAGAGCAGCAGCGCAGCAGAAGGGACGGAUGUGGAGUUCAGAGGGCAGAUGGGAGUUUGUCAACUCUGGUUCAAGUCCCAAUUAUAAUGAAGUUUGCGUGUUUGAUAUGACUAAAACCUCCUCCUCUGUCCCUGAACGUCAGGUCCAUUCAGGAAGUUUGAGUCGAAAGUUUAAAAGAAAACCGUUGGCCGUUUAUUCCUGCCGAUAUUUCAUCAUCCUGUCGAAUCAAAUCAUUUUCAGAGAGAAGAAACGUGUGUAAAGCUUCAAGUUACCGUUACUUUGUUGGACUUUGUGGCAGCUUUAAAAACUUUUGGUAGAAUGAAAUUAAAGUGUUUUAAUAAUCUUUGAAUAAUCCCUGAAAUGAUGCUCAAUAAAACCCAGUGAAGGUGCAAGCAGCGCAACCUCACAUCAUGAGUCAACAAAACUUUCUUUGUUUCAUAAAAAUAUCUGUUUGAAUUCAGAGGAAACUGCUGAAUCAGUGUCAGAGUUUAAACUUAAAAAGUCAUCAAAAGUAGGGAGUCAAAGAUUCAACUUUCUGAUCUUUGUUUAUCUCUAAAUCAACCAAAUAAAAACUAUGAAUUCCUCUUAAAUGUUGACUGAUCUGCAGGAGUUUGCUGCACAGUUACCAGCACACACUACGACACACGAUGGUGUGCAAAAAGUGUCAAAAAGCACUUGAAAGGAAGAAUGCACGAGUUUUAGGCCUUCAUCUCACCAAAGUUAGCAUUUGCAACAGUGUGCUGACGGUCUAAAUCGAAGCUCAACACUACAACACUUCUUGCAAGAAAACAAAUACUGUCUAAAGAGUGCAGGAAGAUUUACUGAUACACACAAUUCCCUUCAUACAAAAACAAUAUGUCAAAAAAUGUUGAAUACAGCAAAUGCAUGUAACAGAAUAUCCAAAAUACUCCUAUGCCACGUCUUGUAAUAUUCUCCAGUAUUUAGCUGAUGUCAGAAAUGUGACACAGGUGAGAUAUGAAAUACAACAACAGUUAUAUCACAAGUUCAUAUGCUGAGUAGGACAGCAACGAUUAUUCGAUGAAUUGAUUAAAGUUGGAAAAUCAAAAUGGCCGACAACUAUUUCAGUAAUCAAUGUAAUUUUUUUUUCUUCUGCUUUGUUUUUCGCUUUAAAGUGCCGCAGUACCCUCCACUCAUAGCCUCUGCUGUGUGUACCUUGUCCAGGACUAACAUUCGCAGCAGAGCUCAUAGAAGUCGGCGUCUGACGAAUUAAAACACGCCGGGUUGGCUGAUGAAGAGGACGCCGCAGAAGGAUCGUCGCCUCAGUAAGCUAGUUGGCUAAUUAGCUGCUAAUAAAAUUAC